UGUUCUUUUCUGGGGUCAAAGUCGUGGGGUAAAAGGUCUCCUAACUCCUCUUUUCUAGCCCAAGUGCACUUUCCUGUCUGAAACCAUCAGCUGAAACACAGGGACGCUCUGAGCACUGUUUCCACUUUGUUAAAAACUGAUGUGAAAAACAGCAGGGGCAGGUUUUAGGAGAAGAGGGCAAGGUGAGAGAGGGCAGCUGGACUGGAAAUUGAAAGCAGGUGCAGGAUGGGUCUGAACACAGCAAUGGCAAAGGAGGUAGGAGCCACGUGUCUGUUUUCAGGUCAGUAAUUUCCUUGGCUGGGCAGGAGUGGCAUUGUGCAGCUCCAGGCUUGAGGGGAGUGGGGCUGGAUGAGAGUCCCUUUGCUGGGUGCUCGUCUCACCUAUGCGUGCUGGUUUAAUGGCUUUCCUUGGCAGCAGUGGAUGAACUUCACAGCCGGUUAUUUUCAGGGGGUUGUCCUCUCCCGGAAAGGGACCCUGAUCAAACUGAAUUGUGCUUAUCAGCCUGUAGGAACUUGUUUCUCAACUCUGCCUAGAACUAGCCAUGGGGAAAGGAGAAGACAUCCUGUGUUGAGUUCUCUGAGCUGCUUGGCUCUAAUCUGCUGUGCUGGCAUGUCUUGUCUUCUUUAGUGUACGCAUCAUCCUGAUCUCUUUGGGGGAAUUUGAUGCUGCUACUCCUGUCAAGCAGAUGGGAAAAUCAAGACCAGGGGAAGGUAACCAGUUGCCCAAGGUGUUUCUUGGCAUGGUAAUGGCAGAAGACAGCCUCAAACACAGGUUUUUCAGCUCCAGAAGCACCUUCCUGUGAGCCUGUCUCCCACCCUGAGGAAUGAAGACUCUGUGAUUGUCAAAGCUGUGGUAGAUGGGCCAGCUUCUCUUCAUUUGUUUCUCUGGGUUGAAAUUAAGCCCCUGUGAGGUGCCUGAACUUUUUUUCCACAGGGCCUGCUACUGCUGAGUUAGUCUGAGCUGGUGCCUUGCUCUCACAUAGACCUGCUCAGGCCAUGGCUUCUGACGUGGACCAUGCUCGCAGAUCCGGCAGGGGAGAGCUGCUGCGGGUUGUGUAAUGUGCCUUCCAGCCCAGUGAAUUGAAGCUUCAGUCAUCUCCACACCCUUUUCUGGAGAACAUGUUCCUAAAGGGCACGUGCAAAAAACAGUGCGUCUCCCAUGGAUGGAAAUCAGCAGGGCAGGGAUGAAAGGUUGCUUUGUCUUUCCUCACAAGGAAAUGAAGAAAGCAAAUAAAGAUUUUCAUUUCUUU